rnacentral:rRNA from 1 species
UGAAUACGAGACGCUAAGGCGUCGAAGUAGUGUAUGUCAUACUUCCAAGAAAAGCUUGCACUGUCAUAGAUAAAAAACGCCUGUACCAUAACCGACACAGGUGGGUAGGUAGAGUAUACUAAGGGGCGCGAGAUAACUCUCUCUAAGGAACUCGGCAAAAUAACUCCGUAACUUCGGGAGAAGGAGUGCCUUAUUCGUAAGGUUGCAAUAACAAGAUCCAAGCAACUGUUUAUCAAAAACACAGGCCUCCGCUAAGUCGUAAGACGAUGUAUGGGGGCUGACGCCUGCCCAGUGCCAGAAGGUUAAAGAAGUUGGUUAGCAAUUGCGAAGCUGAUAACUGAAGCCCUGGUGAACGGCGGCCGUAACGAUAACGGUCCUAAGGUAGCGAAAUUCCUUGUCGGGUAAGUUCCGACCCGCACGAAAGGCGUAAUGAUUUGGAUACUGUCUCGGAGAGGGGCUCGGUGAAAUAGACUUGUCUGUGAAGAUGCGGACUACCUGCACCAGGACAGAAAGACCCUAUGAAGCUUUACUGUAACUUGAAAUUGAAAUUGGACUUUAUUCGCGCAGUAUAGGUGGGAGGCGUUGAUUAUAAUCUUGUGGGAUUAUUGGAGCCAUCAGUGAGAUACCACUCUUGUAAUGUUAGAUUUCUAACUUUGAAUCAUUAUCUGGUCAAAGAACAGUUUCAGGCGGGCAGUUUGACUGGGGCGGUCGCCUCCUAAACGGUAACGGAGGCGUACAAAGGUUUCCUCUGAACGGUUAGAAAUCGUAUCUAGAGUGUAAGGGCAUAAGGAAGCUUGACAGUGAGACCUACAAGUCGAGCAGGGACGAAAGUCGGUCUUAGUGAUCUGACGGUACUGAGUGGAAAGGCCGUCACUCAACGGGUAAAAGUUACUCUAAGGAUAACAGGCUGAUCUCCCCCAAGAGUUCACAUCGACGGGGAGGUUUGGCACCUCGAUGUCGGCUCAUCGCAUCCUGGGGCGGUAGUACGUCCCAAGGGUUGGGCUGUUCGCCCAUGAAAGCGGUACGCGAGCUGGGUUCAGAACGUCGUGAGACAGUUCGGUCCAUAUCCGGUGUAGGCGUUAGAAUAUUGAGAGGAGCCUUCUUUAGUACGAGAGGACCGAGAAGGACAUACCUCUGGUGUACCAGUUAUCGUGCCAACGGUAAACGCUGGGUAGCUAUGUAUGGAGUGGAUAACCGCUGAAAGCAUCUAAGUGGGAAGCCCACCUCAAGAUAAGUAUUCUCA